rfam:Stegodyphus mimosarum contig20459, whole genome shotgun sequence.
GCCUUCAUGGUAUAGUAGUCAGCACGCUCGGCGUGAAAUCGAGAGGUCUGCGGUUCGAGUCCCGGCGAGGGCA